GCCAAGCAUGCCGUCACAUAUCUUUAAAGUAAAUUUUUUUUGAUUUCUAAGUUUGUACCACCUCCAGAUCUUUGAUAUAAUGUAGAGGAUAUAAAAUACUUUAAAAUUGUGAAGUUUAAAAAUAUGCAAGUAAGUAGAUCAAGAGUUAUGAGUAAUUUUCUAAAUUUUGGGCUUUUCCCCUAAUAUAUUUAUAUAUAAGUAUUAAGCCAAGCAUGUCGUCACAUACGUUUAAAGUAAAUUUUUUCUUGUUUCUAAGUUUGUGCUACCUCCAGAUCUUUGAAAUAAUGUAGAAGAGAUAAAAUCCUUUAAAAUUGUGAAGUUUAAAAAUAUCCAAGUUGACCAUCGAUACACAAUAUUGUUUUAAUUACUGAAUUAAACUUCGUUUUCCAAUGGCCAAUGCAAAAGUUGUUAAAUUUGAUGACAAAACUAAAAGAACACGUGACCGUUUGCUGACAUUAGUAUGUCUGGCACUGCAGGCUCAAUCAUAAAGUUUUCAAAACAAAAGCAGUACAUGUUUGUGCGAGAAGAAAUUUGCUGAAAUAUCUUAAUAUAUGGAUGAUGACGGCGACAGAAAUGAAUAUACACUUACCUCUUUUGAACCUCUUUCACCAGAAGAUGAGAAAUCUGGUUUGCGCAAGUUUUUCGAGGAGAUUAAAACGAAAACUUUGCUCACUCUGGGACGUUCGUUCUCACAUGACAAUGUGAACGUGGAUCAAAGGUUGUCUCAAGCUAGCAAUAAUGGUUUAAGCAAUAGAAAGGAGGACACAAAUUUCAAAAGCAAUGAAAGUUUUAAAACCAAUGAUAACAGUAAAACGGAAUUAAGUAAUGUAAAUGGAAACGCAAGAACUCUAACUUCCGUUUGAAGAUGUCUCACUCAGCUUGCUGUGUUAGAAAAGACAGAUCAAAAGAAAUUGGUUAAAAGGACGUGUUGAAGACAGCCGAGUCAUUUGGUCGCUGAGUUGGUGUCGGGUCGAAAGAUUGUCUUGAAAGUUGGUUGAUGGUAGAGCUUGAAUACCGCGACGAAGAAGUUUUGGCCUUUAGAAGAUUCGUUGUAAAUGUUGGGAAUGACAAUGGAUUAUCGGAAUAUCGUUCUUUCGCCCAAGAAACGCAAAGAAAAUACAUCGUAGCAAGGUACAAGGAUUUAUAGUUCUUCAAUCAAGUUCAUUACUGAAAGAUGUUACAUAUGACAAACAAGACAUCAAGAAAAAUUGUACCAAAAAAGGGAACCUUACCUUACCUUACCUUACCUUACCUUACCUUACCUUA